rnacentral:rRNA from 1 species
AGUCGGCCCCUAAGGCGAGGCAGAAAUGCGUAGUCGAUGGGAAACAGGUUAAUAUUCCUGUACCUCUUUGUAAUGCGAUGGGGGGACGGAGAAGGUUAGGUCAGCCGGGUGUUGGACGUCCCGGUUCAAGCGUGUAGUCGUGCCCUGUAGGCAAAUCCGCAGGGCUUAGAUGAGGCGUGAUAACGAGUGGCCUUGUGCCGCGAAGUGAUUGAUACCCUGCUUCCAAGAAAAGCCUCUAAGCUUCAGUUACAAAGAGACCGUACCGCAAACCGACACAGGUGGGCAGGAUGAGAAUUCUAAGGCGCUUGAGAGAACUCAGGAGAAGGAACUCGGCAAAUUAGCACCGUAACUUCGGGAGAAGGUGCGCCCUGGUAGCGUGAAAGCCCUCGCGGCUGGAGCGUGAAAGGGUUGCAGUGAAAUGGUGGCUGCGACUGUUUAAUAAAAACACAGCACUCUGCAAACACGAAAGUGGACGUAUAGGGUGUGACGCCUGCCCGGUGCCGGAAGGUUAAGUGAUGGGGUGCAAGCUCUUGAUCGAAGCCCCGGUAAACGGCGGCCGUAACGAUAACGGUCCUAAGGUAGCGAAAUUCCUUGUCGGGUAAGUUCCGACCUGCACGAAUGGCGUAACGAUGGCCACACUGUCUCCUCCUGAGACUCAGCGAAGUUGAAAUGUUUGUGAAGAUGCAAUCUCCCCGCGGCAAGACGGAAAGACCCCAUGAACCUUUACUGUAGCUUUGCAUUGGACUUUGAACCGGUCUGUGUAGGAUAGGUGGGAGGCUUUGAAGCUGGGACGCUAGUUCUGGUGGAGCCAACCUUGAAAUACCACCCUGGUUUGUUUGAGGUUCUAACCAUGGCCCGUGAAUCCGGGUCUGGGACCGUGCAUGGUAGGCAGUUUGACUGGGGCGGUCUCCUCCCAAAGUGUAACGGAGGAGUACGAAGGUACGCUAGGUACGGUCGGACAUCGUGCUAAUAGUGCAAUGGCAUAAGCGUGCUUGACUGCGAGACCCACAAGUCGAGCAGGUACGAAAGUAGGUCAUAGUGAUCCGGUGGUUCUGUAUGGAAGGGCCGUCGCUCAACGGAUAAAAGGUACUCUGGGGAUAACAGGCUGAUACCGCCCAAGAGUUCAUAUCGACGGCGGUGUUUGGCACCUCGAUGUCGGCUCAUCACAUCCUGGGGCUGUAGCCGGUCCCAAGGGUAUGGCUGUUCGCCAUUUAAAGUGGUACGUGAGCUGGGUUUAAAACGUCGUGAGACAGUUUGGUCCCUAUCUGCCGUGGGCGCUGGAAAUUUGGAGGGACCUGCUCCUAGUACGAGAGGACCGGAGUGGACGAACCUCUGGUGUACCGGUUAUGACGCCAGUCGUAUCGCCGGGUAGCUAAGUUCGGAAGAGAUAAACGCUGAAAGCAUCUAAGCGUGAAACUCGCCUUAAGAUAAGAUUUCCCUGGGGACUUGAUCCCCCUGAAGGGUCGUCGAAGACCACGACGUUGAUAGGCUGGGUGUGGAAGCGCAGCAAUGCGUUAAGCUAACCAGUACUA